GAGAAAUGAGGAUGCUAUGUUUUGGUCUUACUGUUACUAUGAAGACUUCAGAUCCAACUCUGAUCUCACUCCUAGC
rnacentral:snoRNA from 1 species